UUUAGAUGAGCAGCUAGAGACAACAACUACACGUUACAUUUGCAAACUCUACAGAACAGGAGAUAAUUAGUGAGGUAAUACCCAUAACCUUUUGUGAAUUACCUAUAUAGGAAAGCCCGCCAGACUCCUGCUAGAAGAAGUGGUAUGUAUGUAUACAAGAUCAUGUCCUUACGGAAAUACAAAGCCCAUGUGGAUGUGGAGUGAAUGUCCUACUUGUUGAUGUUGGCGCAACGCAGCGGUAAGUAUUGAGAAGAUCUACUGUAAAAACCUAAACCUACCUUUGUCUAUAAACUGUCCGAGCAUGGAGGGGCAGCCAUUUUUAAACAGAUCUCCACAAGAUCACGCCCACAAGUGUAUGACAUCAUCAUUAAGCUAAAGUUCUCUUAAAGGUGUAGUAGGACGUAUAAAUUCAUGUUUAUCUAAAUCACAACUAAAAGUAUACAUCUUCUUUUAAGAAUGAAGAUGAAGUGUGGAUUUUGUAAUGAUAUUGUUGUCAACUGGUGGUCACUGACAAAAAAUUAUGGCUUCAGUCCAGAGGGGGCCCUCAUGGCCGAAAUAGCUCAGUUGGGAGAGCGUUAGACUGAAGAUCUAAAGGUCCCUGGUUCGAUCCCGGGUUUCGGCAUU